UACGGGGGGGGGCAAGCGUUGUUCGGAAUUACUGGGCGUAAAGGGCUCGUAGGUGGCCAACUAAGUCAGACGUGAAAUCCCUCGGCUCAACUGAGGAACUGCCUUUGAAACUGUCGGGCUUGAGGCCGGGAGGGGUAGCGGAAUUCCCAGUGUAGCGGUGAAAUGCGUAGAUAUUGGGAGGAACACCGGUGGCGAAGGCGGCUACCUGGAC
rnacentral:rRNA from 1 species